rnacentral:rRNA from 1 species
UACGAGUUGUGCAAACGUUAUUCGGAAUCACUGGGCUUAAAGGGUGCGUAGGCGGCUAUGAAAGUCAGAUGUGAAAUCCCUCGGCUCAACCGAGGAACUGCACUUGAAACUGCAUAGCUCGAGGGAGACAGAGGUGAGCGGAACUGAUGGUGGAGCGGUGAAAUGCGUUGAUAUCAUCAGGAACACCGGUGGCGAAAGCGGCUCACUGGGUCUUAUCUGACGCUGAGGCACGAAAGCCAGGGGAGCAAACGGG